rnacentral:rRNA from 1 species
UACGUAGGGUGCGAGCGUUAAUCGGAAUUACUGGGCGUAAAGCGUGCGCAGGCGGUGAUGUAAGACAGGUGUGAAAUCCCCGGGCUUAACCUGGGAACUGCAUUUGUGACUGCAUCGCUGGAGUGCGGCAGAGGGGGGGAUGGAAUUCCGCGUGUAGCAGUGAAAUGCGUAGAUAUGCGGAGGAACACCGAUGGCGAAGGCAAUCCCCUGGGCCUGCACUGACGCUCAUGCACGAAAGCGUGGGGAGCAAACAGG